AUCUAACACACAGUCUUCAGUUGAUUCCCUUGGCGCUAAUAAGGGAGCUGUGGGUUGCAGUCUCAUUGUUUCUUUGAUAACAGCUUUGAGAUAAGGUAGUUGUUGACAAUAAGCUUCUUCUACAAAAUCUUUCCUCCCAACAAGUUUUCUUACUUCUUCUUGAGCUUUCUUCAUUGCCAUGGGAUUCUUCAUCAGUAAGGUCAUGGCCCAAACCACAGUAGCUGCGCUGGUGUCUGUUCCUGCCAAGAAUACGUUCUGUAUAGAUCAAAAGAAAAAAAAAUAUCAUUAUUAGUGCAUGGCUCCAUAUAAAGAAACUAAAGAAAGAAUUUGCCCUUGCAUGAUCAGGAAGUUACCAUAAGCACAGCUUUGAUGUGAUCAAAGGUGAGAUCAACUUUAAAAGAACGAUCCUUCCACAAUUGAAGUAAGAUAUCAAGAAUAUCUUCUUCUGCAGGCUUUGACCUACUUGGGUCAAGGUGUUCUUGGAUGAUCUGUUCAUAGAAAACAUCAAAUUCCCUGAAGUUUUUCUCUAGGCGAUGUAAUAAUCCUGUGAACUUAUCAAUAAAACCCAAGAAAGGAAAGUAAUCUGCAACAAAAAAACACAUAAACAAGGCCCGAGCUUCUUUCAGCAACUCUUGAAAUCUACUCGUUCCAACCCCAUCUUCCUCGUACCUCUUCCCGAAAGCAACCCUACAAAUUAUAGUACUUGUAAGCGACAUCAUGGCUUCAGACAAGUUUACAGGUUCCGAGGCAACGGCUGAUUUGGAGAUCUUUUCAAGCAUAUGGGAAACUUCAAAUUCUCUAAUGGGACGGAAACUUUGCACUCUAUUAGAGUUGAAGAGAUAAACCAUACAAAAUUUUCUCAUCUCUCUCCAAUAAGCAUUAUAAGGUGAACAACCCAAGUCUAAACCAUUGUACGACAACUUUUGCUGGCCAACUAAAGCAGGCCUGCUACAGAAUAUAAGAUCAUGGGUUUUCAUGACUGCUUCAGCCAUUUUGGCAGAGGAAACUACGAGGAUUGGGACAAAACCUAGACGCAAGGACAUUACAGGACCAUGUUUUUGAGAAAGCUGCCAUAAGUAGGAAUGACGGUUUAAGCUAUCAAAUUGAUGCAAGUUGCCUAUGACUGGAAGACCCUUUGGACCAGGUGGCAAAUGAAGAUUUCUUUUGGUUUUGAUUUUUCGGAGAAGAAAUGAAAGAAGAAAUGGAAGAGCUAACAGGAGAAGUACAAGCAAAACCAUUUUGUGUGUUUCAACUCUGAAUAUGAGAUAUUAUAAAAAGGAGACCAUUGGUUACAUAUAUAUACAGAUCUUUUCCUUCGUUGGAACAGCUGACGAAAGUCCUUUAAUGCAAAGAUAAAUGAUUUCUUAGUUAUUUUUACUUACACGGAGUGUAAACAGAUCAAAACACGACAAUGCGUACGAAAGUUUCAACAAUUUGACGACUAUGACCAUUACAGCCCAACUACAACUAGUUGCCCAUUGAUAGUUCUUUUGGAGGAGAGAAGAACAAGAGAUUGAUUGACACUCCAAUUGCUCUACUGAUUUUAUCAAUACGUAGGUAUUUAUACAUUAAAAUAUAAUUAAAAAAAUUAGAUUAUAACUAAUUUUAAAUUUUAAACUUAAAAUCUUAAUAAAAUAAUUUAAAACUAACUUAUUGAAUUUAGCCUAACAAUUAUAAUCUUAAAUUUGCAGGCUAAAUCAAUUCUUCUAACACUCCUCUUGACUUAGAAAAUGUAGUGUGAAUAUCGUGAACUGUUGCAUUUUAGAAUUGGCCUUCACGACUCUUUAAUGUGAUUGUGAACUUGAAUAUAAUCGUGAAUAUGAUUGAAUGAGAAAUCUUGUUUUUGGGAUUGAAUGUGAGUGGAGAAACUCCUGACAUUAAAAUUUCUUAUUCUAGCAUUGCUCGUAAAUAGAGAAUUCUCUUCUAUUGGCAUUGCUUGUGAAUUAAAAAUUAGCUUGUUGAUGUGUUCUAGAAAUACAAGCUUGGUCUAAUCUUGCUUUUGUUUGAGUUGAGCUAUCAACUUAGAUAAAUUUUUCAAGAAGACCCCGAAGAAAUGAUUAGACCAAUCUGAGAGAGGGAUACCUUGCAACCUGAGCCAUAUAAGUCUAUUAGUUGGGGUAUGAACAGGCUUCCACGGCUUAAUAUCAUAAAGCCAUUGAUUAAGUCAAUUUAUGCUUUCAUUCAAAAAAUCUUUCAUGUAAUCCUCUUAUUCAAAAGUUAAGAGCACCUUAUCUCCACCCAUUAGAGUGAUAUUAAUGUUGAGGAGACCCACAAUGAAUUAAUCUAGAAGAUUUGUGAUAGUGACAAUGGACUAUUUAAAUUUCGUCAGAAAUUUUAAUUAAUAUUGUUUGGUUAAAACGGAAUGAUAUGAUAGAAAAUGAAAAAUCUUAUUGAAAUUUUUUAAAUAUUGAAAAGUGUAUUUCUAAUAGUUAAGGGAUGCUAUUUAUAAUAAAAACAAAACUCUAAUAUGUAAAAUUAUGAAAAUACCUAAAAUAUCUAAAAAAGUAAUUAAAAUGAAAAAUUGAUCCUCUAAACGAUGGAAUCUCAGAAUUUUCUAAUAGCAUGCAGCUCUCAUCACACUUUUAAAAGUUGUGCGUCUCAAAAUUUUCUUUUCGAAAAUCUAUCGUGGAUCUCUAUCGAACGUCGACAGCAAAAGUUAGGUCCACUUCAAGUUUUCCGUAAAGUUCAAGACUAAUUGUUCCGUGUCGGAUAAAGUAAAUGCACUGAAGUGAGGCAAGGGCUGAUCGAGCUAGCCAUUCUUUAUUUUCUAUGCAAUGUCAUCAGGCGUGCUGUAAUUACCGAUGACUAAGAAACGUGUGGGUUGUUUAGGUUGUUCAGGAUAUAAAUUGAAAGCCUCCCCCAAGGUCUGGUGGUUCCUUUUGUAAAUUCUUUAUGUGAGACUUGUCCCAAAUACAGAAUUUAUAAAAAUUUAAAAUUAUAUAUAAUAAUGGGUUAAAAACUAUUAAAUAAUUUAAGUUAAUCAUUUUGAUUAACUUAAAUCAAAGAAAAAAUGACCGUCUAUUGUGUCUCAAAACUAAUUAACUCAAAUUAUUUAGUAGUUUUAUGUUAAUUAUUAUAUAAAAUUUUAACUUUUCCUAGACGCUUUCUCAAAUUAAGCAAGGUGCUGACUAUUAUAAAAAUAUAAUAAAAAAGUCAAAAUUUUAGUAGAUAGAAUCCCAUCAAAUAUUUUUUGAGGAUUGGACCAGAUAUGUCCAUUUCUCAAGAACAGUAGCCAUUGAAAUGAGGUUAUAAAUAAUUUUGAAUUUUAAAUUUAAAAUCUUAACAAAACAAUUUAAACAACUAACUUAUUGGACUUAACCUAAUAAUUAUAACUAAGUUAAUUCUUCUAAUAAUACAAUAUUUGAUUUUAGGAUAUUAUAGUUUACCAUUAUUUUAGACUGCUGACUUUAUUUUAUGGAUAAAUUUUUUUUUAUAAAUUUACUAGUUAGAUAUAAUUUUUUAAGUUAGUGUGUCUUUAAUUGAUCAAUUGUAUCUAUAUAACUAAGAUUAUAAUAAAUAAGUUGUGAAUCAUUUUAUAUUUAACUUAAAAUAGUUAAUUCAAAUGUAUUCUCAUAUAUCCUAAUAAAUUCCUGAAGUAGAAAUUAGUCUCACUACCAGUAGGUGUGAACGACCACCAAAACAUUGCCAUUGUUCCUUUUUCUGUUUUGGAUUCAUGUCAUAUAUGAGCUUUUAUACACGUAUGAUCGUUGAUAACUACAAAGACUAAGCCGUCGCCACUGUUUCGUCACCGUUUUGGAUUCAUGUCAUAUGUAAGCUUUUAUACAUGUAACCUUAUUGACUACGUAGACCGAGCCCUUGCCACAGUUCCAUUUCUGUUUUGGACUCAUGAUACCAUAUGGAUUUAAUAUAUAAAUGUGUUCUAGAAAUAAUAAUAAUAAUAAUAAUAAUAAUAAUAAUAAUAAUAGACUAAAUUCAGCCUGUCAUGAUACUAUAAAAACUAAAUUAAGAGCACAAUUUUUAACCAAAAUAAUAAUAAUAAUAAUAAUAAUAAUAAUAAUAAUAAUAAUAAUAUAAUUAGGAGAACUAAAAUCAAGCACAAAGAUAACUUUUAUAUUAAGAAAAAUUAUUAUCUAAAUCAGAUUCAUAUGGAUUUAAUAUAUAAAUGUUUUAUUUUUAUGUAAAGCUGAGAAAUCCUAUCCAGUAAUAGUCUUUCCUUCAUAUGAAUGCGUGCCCAAAGAUCAGGCAUACUUCCUGGCCAUAAGGCAAAGAGCAUUUUUCUUGUGCAUAGUAAUACCAGGUUGCACAUCCAUGUCCAAGUCUUCCUUCUUCAUUCCAACAGGCAUCUCCCAAUCGAAUUUGUGAAGUAGAUUAGCUAGAGACACCUCAACAGUUGCGAGACCCAUAAAAAUCCCAGGACAAAUUCUUCUACCAGCUCCAAAUGGUGUCAGCUCAAAAUCUUGGCCUUUCAAGUCAAUAGAGCUAUUGAUGAAUCUCUCAGGAUUAAACUCUUCUGGGUUUUCCCAGAUUUCAGGAUCUCUUCCAAUUGCCCAUGCAUUCACAUAAACUACAGUUUUAGCUGCUAUGUCAUACCCAUCUAACACACAGUCUUCAGUUGAUUCCCUUGGCACUAAUAAGGGAGCUGUGGGUUGCAGUCUCAUUGUUUCUUUGAUCACAGCUUUGAGAUAAGGUAGUUGUUGACAAUCAGCUUCUUCUACAAAAUCUUUCCUCCCAACAAGUUUUCUUACUUCUUCUUGAGCUUUCUUCAUUGCCAUGGGAUUCUUCAUCAGUAAGGUCAUGGCCCAAACCACAGUAGCUGCCCUGGUGUCUGUUCCUCCCACGAAUACGUUCUGUAUAGAACAAAAGAAAAAAAAUAUAUCAUUAUUACUGCAUGGCUCCAUAUAAAGAAACUAAAGAAAGAAUUUGCCCUUGCAUGAUCAGGAAGUUACCAUAAGCACAGCUUUGAUGUUAUCAAAGGUGAGAUCAACUUUAAAAGAACGAUCCUUCCAAAGUUGAAGUAAGAUAUCAAGAAUAUCUUCUUCUGCAGGCUUUGACCUACUUGGGUCAAGGUGUUCUUGGAUGAUCUAUUCAUAGAAAACAUCAAAUUCCCUGAAGUUCUUCUCUAGGCGAUGUAAUAAUCCUGUGAACUUAUCAAUAAAACCCAAGAAAGGAAAGUAAUCUGCAACAAAAAAACACGUAGACAAGGCCUGAGCUUCUUUCAACAACUCUUGAAAUCUACUCCUUCCAACCCCAUCUUCCUCGUACCUCUUCCCGAAAGCAAUCCUACAAAUUAUAGUACUUGUAAGCGACAUCAGGGCUUCAGACAAGUUUACAGGUUUCGAGGCAACGGCUGAUUUGGAGAUCUUUUCAAGCAUAUUUGAAAGUUCAAAUUCUCUAAUGGGACGAAACUUUGCACUCUAUUAGAGUUGAAGAGAUAAACCAUACAAAUUUUUCUUAUCUCUCUCCAAUAAGCAUUAUAAGGUGAAAAAGCGAAGUCUGAACCAUUUUACGACAACUUUUGCUGGCCAACUAAAGCAGGCCUGCUACAGAAUAUAAGAUCAUGGGUUUUCAUGACUGCUUCAGCCAUUUUGGCAGAGGAAACUACGAGGAUUGGGACAAAACCUAGACGCAACGACAUUACAGGACCAUGUUUUUGAGAAAGCUGCCAUAAGUAGGAAUGAGGGUUUAAGCUAUCAAAUUGAUGCAAGUUGCCUAUGAAUGGAAGACCCUUUGGACCAGGUGGCAAAUGAAGAUUUCUUUUGGUUUUGAGUUUUCGGAGAAGAAAUGAAAGAAGGAAUGGAAGAGCUAACAGGAGAAGUACAAGCAAAACCAUUUUGUGUUUCAACUCUGAAUAUGAGAUAUUAUAAAAAGGAGACCACUGGUUACAUAUAUAUACAGAUCUUUUCCUUUGUUGGAGCAGCUGACGAAACUCCUUUAAUCCAAAGAUAAAUGAUUUCUUAGUUAUUUUUACUUACACGGAGCAUAAACAGAUUAAGACACGACAAUGAGUACGAAAGUUUCAACAAUUUGACGACCAUGACCAUUACAGCCCAACUACAACUAGUUGCCCAUUGAUAGUUCUUUUGGAGGAAAGAACAAGAUAUUGAUUGAGACUCCAGUUAACUGAUUUUAUUAAUAUGCUGAUAUUUAUACAUUAAAAUAUAAUUAAAAAAUAAAAUUAUAAAUAAUUUUAAAUUUUAAACUUAAAAUUUUAAUGCAUUUACGGGAUUAGCCAGUUAGCCUGGUAAGUGCAUACGAGAGAUUUCAGGUUCUAUUCUCCUAAUUUCCGACCCCCAUUUUUUAAAAGAAAAAUUAAAAUUUUAAUAAAAUAAUUUAAAACUAAUUUAUUGAAUUUAACCUAACAAUCAUAAUUUUAAAUUUGCAGAUUAAGUCCAUUCUUCUAACGCUUCUCUUUAACUUAGAAAUGCAGUUUCAAUAUUGUGAACCGUUACAUUUUAGAAUUGAUCUUCACUAACUCUUCAACGUGGUUGUGAACUUGAAUAUAAUUGUGAACAUGAUUAUGAAUAAAAAAAUCUUUUUUCUGGCAUUGAAUGUGAGUAGAAAAACUCCUGACAUUGAAUUUUCUUGUUCUGGCAUUGCUAGUGAAUAGAGAAUUCUCUUCUCUUGGCAUUGCUUGUGAAUGAAAAAUUAGCUUGUUGAUGUGUUCUAGAAAUACGAGCUUGGUCUAAUCUUGCUUUUGUUUGAGGUGAACUAUCAACUGAGAUAAAUUUUCCAAGAAGACCCCCUACCCAUUCGAAGAAAUGAUUAGACCAAAUUGAGAGAGGGAUACCUUGCAACCUGAUCUAUAUAAGUCUAUCAGUUGGGUUAUGAACUGGCUUCCACGGCGUAAUAUCAUAAAGCCAUUGAUUGAGUCAAUAUAUGCUUUCAUUCAAAAAAUCUUUCAUGUAAUCCUCUUAUUCAUAAGUUAAGAGCACCUUAUCUCCACCCAUUAGAGUGAUAUUAAUGUUGAGGAGACCCUCAGCAAUGAAGUAAUCUUGAAGAUUUGUGAUAGAGUGAAUGCUCUGAAGUGAGGCUGAUCGAGAGAGCCAUUCUUUAUUUUCUAUGCAAUGUCAUCAGGUGUGCUGUAAUUACCAGUGACUAAGAAACGUGUGGGUUGUCUAGGUUGUUCAGGAUAUAAAUUGACAGCCUCCCUCCCAAGGUCUGGUGGUUCCUUUUGAAAAUGUGGGACUUGUCCCGCAUAGAAUUUACAAAAAUUUAAAAUUGUAUAUAAUAAUAGAUUAAAAAUUACUAAAUAAUUUAGGUUAAUCCUUUUAAAUAAAAAAAAUGAAUUCAAAAAUUAUUUGAGCUUGGCUGUUACAGAAAAAUUGUUGAUUUCCUGGUGUUGAUCUUUCAUUGUGUAGGUUGUGAUUUUGGGUGAAGGUUGCCCACUGCUUUCUGCUGCUAUGCUUCAGAAAUUGACGGCGGGCAAAACGUGGGAAAGAGGCUCUGAGUUUGAAAGAACCAAUCCACAAGUUAUUGGAAACGCAUAUAAGGCUGUCUACUUGGUCUCUAGAAGAAAUUUUGAUGAACCCAAACCGUCAACCACUCCGGUUUAGUUUAUCCGGAAUAUAAACUUUAUAGAUGUUUGAAAACUUUAAAAAAGUAUCCCAAAAAGUUUUAGCAUUCUAGUCCUGAGUCCUGGGGAAGUUCUCAAAAUAGAUAGAAGCUUAGGUAUGAUUUUGCAUAGUCUUAGAAGGAUUGCUGGUGAAGUUGCAUAGUCUUGGAAGGAUUGUUGGUAAAGUUGCUGGACUGCCUUCUAGCCAAUGCUGCUUUUUCUCCUGAUAUUGUUCGUAAAUGGAAAAUUCUCUUCUCCUGUUAUUUGGGCUUGUUAUGGCGUGAGUUUAUUGUGUUUUUGGAUACCAAUUGUUAACUUUUUGAGAGGAGAGGUGAAAAGAGAUUGAUUGAGACUCCAAGUCUAUUGAUUUUAUUGAUGUGAUUAUAUUUAUAUAUUAAAAUUGAUAUUCUGAUAUUUAGAAAAUAGAGUUUAUGGUAUGUGUAUAAGUUUGGUUAAAUAGGGAAUAUCACGUCUUUUUCCUUUUAUUCUUUUUCUUUUUAUUUGUUAGUGGCAUCUAAACACCUCUAUGUUACUGCGUCACCUAUUUUUGUCACUCUCCAUACGUAUGGAUGCGUUAGAGUACUUCUUAAUAUCAGAUAGCCAUUUAAUUUCUCCCAUCUCCCGGCGCGCGUACUAAUAAGGCUAUGAGGUGACUGACCUCGCUUCCCUUACUUUAUGUCACAUCAUAGGACUGAACUUUCUGUAAGUAGGCCGGCGUGUAUAGUCAGUCCGGUUCACUUCAUGUCGCAGUUCCGGCUUCACCCAAGGAUGGGAGAAGUCUGGCGAUUAUCAAAAAUGUAGUUGAAAGGAGUUAAAAUUUUAAUAGAUAGGAAUCCCAUCAAAAUUUCUUUCAAGGAAUGGGUUAGAUCCUAUCAUUUCUUAAGAACAAUAGCUAUUGAAAGGAGAUCCUAAAUAAUUUUAAAUUUAAAAUUUUAGCAAAACAAUUUAAAAAAUUAAUUUAUUAGAUUUAGUCUAAUAAUGAUAAUUUUAAAUUUAUAGAUUAAGUUAAUUCUUUUAAUAACAAUAUAAUAUUUAAUCUUAGGGUAUUCUAGUUUAUUAUUAUUUUAGACGGCUCAUUUUAUUUUACGGAUAAACUUUUCUUUAUAAAUUUAUUAGUUAGAUAUAAUUUUUUGAGUUAGUGUGUUUUUAAUACCAAUUGUAUUUAUAUAACUAAGAUUAUAAUAAAUAAGCUGUGAAUCAUUUUAUAAAAAUUAGUCCCACUACCGGUAGGUGUGAAAGACGACCAAGACAUUGCCAUUGUUUCUUUCUCUGUUUAAGAUUCGUGUCAUAUAUGAGCUUUUAUACACGUAAGAUCGUUGAUGACUACAAAGACUAAGCCCUUGCCACUGUUUCGUCUCUAUUUUGGAUUCAUGUCAAUGUAAGCUUUUAUGCAUGUAACGUUGAUGACUACCUAGACCGAGCCCUUGCCAUAGUUCCAUUUCUGUUUUGGACUCAUGUUGUAAAUGAGCUUUUAUACACAGUCAUAAAAAAUAAAAUAAGAAAAAACCCCAUUUAAAAACAAGAAAAUUGACGCUGGAUAAUUUUUUUUUUUUUUUUUUAAAUUGAAGUUUAGGCUCUCCUGCACCCAUAUUAUUAGCAUCAUAACUGAAAACUUCAUAUAAAAAAGGAUGGCAUAUCCCAUUAAAAAUCACUUACAAAAGCAGACGCCCUUACAAUAAUACAAUGAGCAAUUCAAUUCGUUGAUCUCUUAACAAAAAUAAGAUUAAUGGAUAAAAAUUCAGUCAUCAUAAUCUAACAAUCAUGAAUAAUAAACCAAAAAAUUGAGAAAUAUUAUUAUUUACUUCUAAAAGACUGAAUUAGAAGGAAACAAUCAAUUUGACCUACAUAUAAUUUAAUGAUUUCAACCAGCUCAAAGAUUGAACUAGGAACAAACGAUCAAUUUUCACUGUAACCUACAUAUGAUUUAAUGAUUUCAACCAGUUCAGCGCCUCUCUAAAACACAAAGCUUCAUCCAAUUUUGGGUCCUCUACGGCUGGCGUAGAAGAUGAGAAGCCUGCCAUGCAGAGGCCAUUACUAUCUCGCAAAAUCCCACCAAAACCAAACUUUCCAUUUUGCAAGGAAACAUCAAAGUUGCAUUUAACUUCAAACCUGUUUGAUGGCUUCCAUGAAAUUAUAGCAACUGAACCAGCUUUAUCAUUACCUUCCAGUACCUGCGUCGCCUUCCAUUCUACCAAAAUUUGCCGAGACAAAUGCAUAACUGGCCCUGCCGAUUUUCUAAUCUAGUUCCAUACUAUUUGAUUCCUUGACUACCAAAUUGCCCAAAAAACCAGGAAACCAUGAACACAGUCCUUCUUCUCUUUCUGUUUCAACCAGCCAAUGCAAUCAGCAACAUCUCUCUAAUACUGCCAACCCACAUAUGACUGUAACCAUAUUUCCUUUGCUGCCAGACAAUAUAAUAGUGCUUGGGAAAUUGUUUCUGCAUUAUAUUCACAAAUCUUGCAUGCAAUCAUCACCUCAACAUGCCUAGACCGCAGUAUCUCAUUACAAGGAAGAGUAUUUAUCAAAGCACGCCAUAAGUGAUGCUUUACUUUUAAUGGCAUAUGUGCUUCCCAUACAACUGACCAAAAAUCAGAAUUGUCUAACCUUGUCUGAACUUGUUCCAUUACCACUCUAUAACCACUUUUAACUAUAUAUAUUCUAUGUGUUUCAUGCACCAAUCCCCAUGUAUCUCGACGAACACAAUACGACACAGGAAUUCUUUUGGCGAGUUCAAUAUCUUGUGGUUGUAAAAAUUCUUCUAACUUCUCUUCAUCGCAUCUUCUUCCUUCCCCAUCCAAUAAUGUUGCCACUCUCAGUAAUGUAUUCCCCUCUGCUGGAAUUGCUUGUAUAAAAGGAUUUUCUUCAUCAGGCAGCCACGGAUGAUGGUAAACAAAAGUCUCAUCACCACUGCCAAUACGUCGUCUACAACCCUUCUGUAACAAUUCUUUGGCUAUCCAAAUACUUUUCCAUAUGAAAGAAGGAUUAUUACCUAAUUCCGAAUGAAAGAAAUCAGAAUUCGGAAAAUAUCGUUGUUUCAAAGUAUUUGACACCAAAGAAUCUGGCUCUGAAAUCAACCUCCAUCCCAUAUUAAUUUUAAUUUGAAAAUGGGUAAAAAACAUUAUAAAAAUUAAAGAAAAGAAUUUUCGGUACUAUAAAUUUGUAUAUAUACUCUUUAAUUUUACUUUAAAUAGACGAUAUUAUGGUUUAAUAGUGUUUUGGUGGUUCUAUUUAUUUACUGAUAGUUCUUUUUCUUGUAAAAUCAUUAAAUCCACAUUUUUUUCAAUUUUUAAUUAUUUUGAUAUCAAAUCUAAACUGGUAAAAUAAUUUUUAGAUUAUUUUUUUCUUAAUUCAAGAUCAUUUAAUUAUAAACCAUUCAAAUUCAGUUUUUGUUAUUGAUGUGGGAUGCUCCAAGUGUCAUUAGAAAUUAAUUUUCUUGAAAAACUAAUUGGACGGCAAAUGCUUUAACCAAACAAGGAAUCUUAAAGGAAAAGGACUUUAUUAUAAAAUGUAAUUUUAUAUAAUAUUUGAUUUUUUGUGAUAUUUGGAUUCUUUUGUAAUUGAGGUUCUCCAAAUUUUUUCAUUUAGUAUGUAAUGUCUAUAUAUUAAGUUUCUUCUUGUUUUUAUGGGGACUCGUUGGUUUAGGUUGCAUCUUAAUAAAAUUUUUCUCAGUAAAAAACUCAAUUUAACCUAAAAUUGAGAAAAUCAAGAAAUUAAACAUCUUUAUUCUAACUAAAUCACAAUAUCAAAUAAUUUAACUUAAAUUCAUGAAAUUAAAUUUUCUAAUUUUUUAUAUCAAUCAACAAACAAAGAAAUUUAACAAAAAAAAAACCUUUAAUUUUUUAACUAAAUUAAUAAAUUUAAUAUAAAACUUAUACUUUAAUUUAGAUAAAAAUUAAAAUUUUCUAACAAGUACUCAUGAAUUUAGUUUGAUGGUAAAUAUAUCUAAGUAAAUCUGAUAGAUUUCAAGUUCUAUUCCCCCAAUUUUUAUAUUAAAAAAAAAUUUUAACGACUAUAAUGAAAAAAUUAAAUUUUCAACCUAUCGUAAUAUCAUAAAAACUAAAUUACGAACAUAAUUUUUAAUUAAAAUAAUAAUAAUAAUAAUAAUAAUAAUAAUAAUAAUAUAAUUAGGAGAACUAAAAUCAAGCACAAAAAUAAAAAGUAUAUAUAUAUAUUAUUUAAUAGAAAAUGGCCGCAACAAUGACUUUUAUAUUAAGAAAAAUUAUUAUCUAAAUCAGAUUAUAUGGAUUUAAUAUAUAAAUGUUUUAUUUUUAUGUAAAGCUGAGAAAUCCUAUCUAUAAGUCUUUCCUUCAUAUGAAUGCUUGCCCAAAGAUCAGGCAUACUUCCUGGCCAUAAGGCAAAGAGCAUUUUUCUUGUGCAUAGCAAGACCAGGUUGCGCAUCCAUGUCCAAGUCUUCCUUCUUCAUUCCAACAGGCAUCUCCCAAUCAAAUUUGUGAAGUAGAUUAGCUAGAGACACCUCUACAGUUGCGAGACCCAUAAAAAUCCCAGGACAAAUUCUUCUACCAGCUCCAAAUGGUGUCAGCUCAAAAUCUUGGCCUUUCAAGUCAAUAGUGCUAUUGAUGAAUCUCUCAGGAUUAAACUCUUCUGGGUUUUCCCAGAUUUCAGGAUCUCUUCCAAUUGCCCAUGCAUUCACAUAAACUACAGUUUUAGCUGCUAUGUCAUACCCAUCUAACACACAGUCUUCAGUUGAUUCCCUUGGCACUAAUAAGGGAGCUGUGGGUUGCAGUCUCAUUGUUUCUUUGAUCACAGCUUUGAGAUAGGGUAGUUGUUGACAAUCAGCUUCUUCUACAAAAUCUUUCCUCCCAACAAGUUUUCUUACUUCUUCUUGAGCUUUCUUCAUUGCCAUGGGAUUCUUCAUCAGUAAGGUCAUGGCCCAAACCACAGUAGCUGCGCUGGUGUCUGUUCCUCCCACGAAUACGUUCUGUAUAGAGCAAAAGAAAAAAAAUAUCAUUAUUAGUGCAUGGC
rnacentral:lncRNA from 1 species